rnacentral:lncRNA from 1 species
ACCCCUGCAGGAAAACUUUCACAAUCAACCUGGGAAGUCCUGAGAUAAACUCAUAUCAGAGAUGAAGAGAGUGACACAUGAAGUUUAACAAUUUGCACAAGAAGGACAUAGCUCAUUCACCAUACAGAGAUGAUCCAUGGAAGGAGACAAAGUACAUAAACAAGAUACACAACCACUACGAAAGGAAAGCUUCCACAAGGUGAGAUGGUACCAUCACUCUUCAAGUAAGGUAACAUCUUAAGAUAUCUGACUAUCACUUUUAUAAGCUUCUCCUUGGUUCUGGCGUUCACAUAAAUAAAGAGACAAACAUGUAUGAUUUAUAACUCUAAAUUAACCAACCCAACUGAUUCAGCAUGUUUAGUCCUUUAAUCUUUGUUCCUAGUACUACCUCCAUGAUCCCACACUCCUAACCAUAUGAGCUAAAAUGUUGCACAUUUAAUCUUUGGGAAGAUAUAAAGAAAAAGGCAUAUAUAUAGAUAGAUUAUCUUUCCAUUAGGUUAAGCGAUCUGAUGCGGCAAAUGUUUCAAAUGCUACACUCAUGAACUUAUCAUUCAUCAACUUUGUCUUGCUCACCAUGCUUAAGGAUAGAGAAGAACAAAUACACUUUUGGUUCUGUUGGUGUUUCCACCAACAGGACCCAUGCACUUGAUCUCUGCCUUGUCUCUAUAAGCAGGUACACUGACCUGGAUCUACGAGCACAAACACACUGAGCAGGAUGCUGCCAACGCCGCACUUCAAACUGCUGGGCAAACGAAGAACAUGAGUGACACCGUAUCAAGAGGUGCAGACGUCAAGGUCUGCACCUGAAUCAAAUGACGCACCUAAAGAAUGAACACGGUGAGAAGUCUUGUUCAGAAGACUUAAAACAUUGAACACUCGCCGAAAGGUAAAAUCGGUAGUAAUCCAUAUUUAUCCUUUCUGCAUUCCCUUUUUCCUUUAAUUAUUUACUUUCCUUAAAUGGCUUGUUAGUUAUUCAUGCUAUCUUGAAAAGAAAAUAAAAAUGUUAAAAAUAGUAAGCCCCAUGUGAGUAUGCUCGUGGCAUAAAACCUAUAAGUACAUUCACUGUGGUGGCGUAAAAAUAGAAUAAAUAUAUUCCUGUCCUAUAGAAAUGAAAAUAUAAAAAUAAAUUUAUGAUCCUACCAAAGAGAGUAAUAUUGAUUAGAGGAAGCUCAACAUGAUAAAGGCAAAGAGAUUUUUAUGCUAACACUUAACCAGUUCCACAAAGCUUUGUUGUCUAUUUGAGCUCCACAGAAUUUAAGGAUCAAAGAAGACUAGCAGACGGAGGACAUCCUAAUCGCUGUCUAGGUGCUGCCGACAUUCAAAUACACCUCCGCCACCUGCUAGCUACAUCAGAAGAAAUUACGUCAAAAUCCAGCUUGGGGGAGAGCACCCCCCAUUUAUCCAGCUAAGUGUUUCUACUCGCGUUUAUACUUUACUCAAAUAAUAAAAAGAUGCAUAAUCAUAAAAACUCAAAUAAAGAUUUUGUGCUUAUAUAUAUAUAUAUAUAUAUAUAUAUAUAUAUAUAUAUAUAUAUAUCUUUGCUUAGUUUGCUAAAUAAAUAAAUAAAGUUUCCUAUGAACUCUCAUGAUAAGCUCUCACAUGGAAAUGAUGAAUAGUUGCUCUGCCAUGGCUAGUUCUCAAAAUUGAAAUCUCUCUCAAGUUUAGGCAUUACUGUUAUGAAUUAAGAUUUGCUCUAAACCUGAACUUGUGGGAAGAGUACUUGAUCUAAAGUCUAAGUCGUUAACGGAUAUGAUAUGGGAAGGUUGAGCUGCUGUUUAUCUGUUCCUAGAGAUGCUAGAAUUCUGGAGAAUUUUAUCUUUGAAAAUCUUUAAAAUGUUGCAUGAUGAGUUCCUGUAUGAUGAGAGUUUAAAAUCCUACCACAGCCAUAUAUACAUGCUUAUUAGACUAUGAACCAUACAUUUACUUUUUGCUGCUUAUGAGUAUUGAGUGUGGUCAAGCUGUGUAGAACCUUAGGAGCUUGUCAUGCGGUUAAAAUCAAAAUUCACUUGCACGUUCACUCAUACAUGCUGUUUUUACUCCGGAAGUACGCAUCCACAUACAUCCACUCCUUUCCAUCCCAGAUUCACCUAAAAUUAUUCUACUCCUAUCUAGGAGAGAAUAGCCAAAAACAUUAUUCUAUCAACAUUAUUCUAUCCCUGUUAUUCCCCAUGAAAUAAAUGCUCGAGAUAUUUUGGUUACUACCACUUGCUACAUUAUUCUAGGAGGGUGAGUGCUCUGAAAAAAAAAGUGAAUACGAGAAAAUAAAAAGGGGCAAGUGCCCGGAACCUCGAAAGAAAAAAAAAGUGAGACGAGAGGUAAAAAUGGACAAGUGACCGACAGUAGAAUUAGGGGUACAAGAUACCCACCUGAGAGAAAAGAAAAAAAAGAGAAGAAAGAAAAUAUAGAGCAUCUCAUUCCCCUCAAAAAGCUUCAAAGUGCAAGAAAGGUAUGUAUCCCCUCAAAAGAGCAAAAGUAGAAUUAGACUUUCACCAUUAUUUUCACCAUCAUCACCAUGCACCAUUCAUCCGCCACACAUGCACAUCUUGGUUUGACUUAUUGACUUGCUUCUCUGGAUCCAUGGUUUGACUAUGCAAUAAAUAUCUUCUAAGUAUGUAUUAGCUGUCUUCCACCUAUGAGCUCCAGAUAUCAAACCUUAUUAUAGUAGGGUGAGAGAGAAGGCGUAUAUUAUCACUGCCUUGGUAAGGAUCCAGAAAUACCACAAAAGAGAGACUAGAGAGAGUCAUACAAGGAAUCUCUGAGUUUUAUUUGAAAAUCUACAAAAACUCCAGAGCUAUAGUUAAUCAAAGAACAAGAGACAUGGUGCUUGACUUGACCAUUCUAUCUUUUAACUGCUCAAGACACAAGUGACGGUUGCAAGCCCCAUGGUGAAAGGUAAUAUGAGAAAGUUUUAAAUCUUAACAAUUUACCGUAACCCAGAGAUGAGAUCUUGUUUGAACGCAUGUGUACCUUUAAGGCAUAAAACCACUGUAGAAACUCUUGAGUCCAUCCUUGCUCAGGGACGAGCAAGAGGUAAGCUUGGGGGAGUUGUUGACGGUCCUUAAGUACCAAAUAUAAUCAGCAAAUAAACAAAGAAAAGGAUCCAAAUACAACCAACAUCUAAACUUAGGGUUUUAUCUGAUAGAAUUCCACGAGUUUUGGUGUUUGUCUAUUUCUGCAGGGGGUUAUCAGGAAAUAUGGUGACAAGGACCACAUGUCGGGUUUAUAUAGAGAUAUUAACAUGCCGCGCAAUUUUCUAUCAUCUAGAAGACUCCAGAAGCCACGAGAACGAACGGGAGGCCGAACGGGCCCGGGGGCAGGGCGCCCGCCCUCCCCCAUUGGGCGCCCACCCAGCUACAGAGUUGGAUCAGGACUCUCUUUCGGGAUGAUGUUCCACCGACCUAAAGGAUCAAGAAUAACCGUUCAAUCAAUGUCGGUUUGAUCCGACGGCCCAGGUUCACUUGAGGGGACUAUAUAACCAGACCCCUGGCCCCUGGAGGAGACACCCCUUGAUCAUUAUUCAUUAUUCAUAGAUAGAGCAAAAGCUAGGGUUUAGAGAUGAGAGCUCUCCUCUCUUCUCUAAACUAGAGUAGAUCUAGAUAGUAGCGAGAUG